CUCCCGAUUGGGCCCUGCAGGAGUUGUCCCUCCUUAAGGGUGAUCAAAACUAGCAGAAUGCUCUGAAGGCUAACUCAAAACAACUAUGGAACUCCCCAAACUCCAAGGAAGUAAAUGUUGGACUUGUUCUGAGUGAGGUUCCAGCUGGAGAAACACGUCUGGAGCCUCUGGGUGAUGCAGACUACAGCCCUGCUCCUGUCCUGAAGAACCUGGCAGUUCAGCAUGAGGAUGAGGUGAUGGAAACACACACUCUAACAUCUUCAUUUUCUCCUCAAUUCCUUUAGCCUCACUCUGAACGUGGUUAAGGAAUUCUUUUCAAUUGGGCUAACUGGUAAACCAAAAAACACAUCAGUUUGGAUGUCACAAAGAUAUUACAAACUAUACCUAA